rnacentral:rRNA from 1 species
AGCGAACGCUGGCGGCAUGCCUAACACAUGCAAGUCGAACGAGACCUUCGGGUCUAGUGGCGCACGGGUGCGUAACCCGUGGGAACCUGCCCUUAGGUUCGGAAUAACUCCCCGAAAGGGGUGCUAAUACCGGAUAAUGUCUUCGGACCAAAGAUUUAUCGCCUUUGGAUGGGCCCGCGUUGGAUUAGCUAGUUGGUAGGGUAAAAGCCUACCAAGGCGACGAUCCAUAGCUGGUCUGAGAGGAUGAUCAGCCACACUGGGACUGAGACACGGCCCAGACUCCUACGGGAGGCAGCAGUGGGGAAUAUUGGACAAUGGGCGAAAGCCUGAUCCAGCAAUGCCGCGUGAGUGAUGAAGGCCUUAGGGUUGUAAAGCUCUUUUACCCGGGAUGAUAAUGACAGUACCGGGAGAAUAAGCUCCGGCUAACUCCGUG